GACAGAGGGUGCAAACGUUGUUCGGAAUUACUGGGCGUAAAGCGCGUGUAGGCGUCUACGUAAGUCGGGCGUGAAAUCCCACGGCUCAACUGUGGAAGAGCACUCGAAACUGCGUAGCUAGAGUCCUGGAGAGGAAGGUGGAAUACUUGGUGUAGAGGUGAAAUUCGUAGAUAUCAAGUGGAACACCAGUGGCGAAGGCGGCCUUCUGGACAGUGACUGACGCUGAGACGCGAAAGCGUGGGGAGCAAACAGG
rnacentral:rRNA from 1 species